rnacentral:rRNA from 1 species
AAUAUUGGUCAAUGGACGCAAGUCUGAACCAGCCAUGUCGCGUGAAGGAAGACUGCCCUAUGGGUUGUAAACUUCUUUUAUAUGGGAAGAAUGUUAUCUACGAGUAGAUAUUUGCCGGUACCAUAUGAAUAAGCAUCGGCUAACUCCGUGCCAGCAGCCGCGGUAAUACGGAGGAUGCGAGCGUUAUCCGGAUUCAUUGGGUUUAAAGGGUGCGUAGGCGGAUUAAUAAGUCAGGGGUGAAAGUUUGCGGCUCAACCGUAAAAUUGCCUUUGAAACUGUUAAUCUUGAGUACAUUUGAGGUAGGCGGAAUGUGAUGUGUAGCGGUGAAAUGCUUAGAUAUAUCACAGAACACCGAUUGCGAAGGCAGCUUACUAAACUGUAACUGACGCUGAUGCACGAAAGCGUGGGGAUCGAACAGGAUUAGAUACCCUGGUAGUCCACGCCGUA